GUGAAUCAUCGAAUUUUUGAACGCAAAUUGCACUCUCUUCGGAGAGUAUGCCUGUUUGAGGGGUAGCCUAAAAAAAAGCGACAUCGUCGCUGUUUCGCGGCGGCGUUCGUCGGAAUUUGGGUUAUCGUAAAUCUGUGGUUCAAGCGACUUAAAAUUUUCUUUACGAUUCUAUGAACGUUUCCAAGAUUUAUUUCUUUACACGUAUAAGGUAUCG
rnacentral:misc_RNA from 1 species